rnacentral:rRNA from 1 species
UUGGAAGUAAAAGUCGUACCAAGGUUUCCGUAGGUGAACCUGCGGAAGGAUCAUUGUCGAUGCCUUACAUGCAGACCAACACGUGAAUCAGUUUGAACACAUAGGGUUGGUUUGAGGUGUUCAACACCUCGGCUUGCCUCUGGUUCGGAGGAGGACGAUGUUGUGCGUUCUCCUUUGUGCCAAAACACAAACCCCGGCGCUGAAUGCGUCAAGGAAUUUAAAAUUUGCUCUGAGCGCACCUGCAUGGCACCGGAGACGGUUUUCGUGCGGGUUGUGUUCUGACACAUAAUAUAGAAUGACUCUCGGCAACGGAUAUCUAGGCUCUUGCAUCGAUGAAGAACGUAGCGAAAUGCGAUACUUGGUGUGAAUUGCAGAAUCCCGUGAACCAUCGAGUCUUUGAACGCAAGUUGCGCCCGAUGCCAUUAGGUUGAGGGCACGUCUGCCUGGGCGUCACAUAUCGAAGCCUCUCGCCAAUUUCCUAUAUUGAUAGGGGUAUUGUGCAGGGCGAAUGUUGGCCUCCCGUGAGCUUUAUUGCCUCAUGGUUGGUUGAAAAUCGAGACCUUGGUAGGGUGUGCCAUGAUAGGUGGUGGCUGUGUUACGCACGAGACCAAGUAAGUCAUGUGCUGCUCUAUUGAAUUUAGGCCUCUUUUACCCACAUGCGUUUCGAAACGCUCGUGAUGAGACCUCAGGGCAGGCGGGGCUAACCGCUGAAUUUAAGCAUAUCAAUAAGCGGAAGAA